GACGAACGCUGGCGGCGUGCUUAACACAUGCAAGUCGAACGAUGAAGCUGGAGCUUGCUCCGGUGGAUUAGUGGCGAACGGGUGAGUAACACGUGAGCAAUCUGCCCUUCACUCUGGGAUAACUGCGGGAAACUGUAGCUAAUACCGGAUACGAGACCUUGGGGCAUCCCAGGGUCUGGAAAGAAUUUCGGUGAAGGAUGAGCUCGCGGCCUAUCAGCUAGUUGGUGAGGUAAUGGCUCACCAAGGCGACGACGGGUAGCCGGCCUGAGAGGGUGACCGGCCACACUGGGACUGAGACACGGCCCAGACUCCUACGGGAGGCAGCAGUGGGGAAUAUUGCACAAUGGGCGAAAGCCUGAUGCAGCAACGCCGCGUGAGGGAUGAAGGCCUUCGGGUUGUAAACCUCUUUUAGUAGGGAAGAAGCGCAAGUGACGGUACCUACAGAAAAAGCACCGGCUAACUACGUGCCAGCAGCCGCGGUAAAAC
rnacentral:rRNA from 1 species